rnacentral:ncRNA from 1 species
AUAAUAGCUAUGAUGAGAAAAGUAGAUAUUUAAUUUCUUUUACAGAGAGCUCCAGGUGCUGAAAAGGAGUAAAGAAGUAUUUAUCGAAACAAGGCUCUGAGCUUCAUACGGAUUCUUUAAAGAUGAUGCUAUGACGUAGGUCUACGUUACAGGACUAGAGUAUAAGUAUUUUUAAUACCGUACUUGAUAAGAUUGAUAUGGUGACAUAUCUAUGAAUUUAGGUGGCAACGCGAAGAUAUAACUCUCGCCCUAAGG